rnacentral:tRNA from 1 species
GGAGAGGUCGCAUAGUUGGUUUAGUGCGCUAGUCUCGAAAACUGGUAAGGGUGAAAACUCUUCGAGGGUUCGAAUCCCUCCCUCUCCG